GGCUCCUCGGGUUCUCCCUCCGGGUUGGGCGUGCAGGCCGCGGCUGCAGCUCCCAGCUCCAGCCGGGGCCCUAACGCCGACACGGCCGCGAGGAGCCCCCGCACUGGGCCCUUCCACUCCCUGGCUUCGUCCCAGGCGAUCCUCACUGGACAGCCUGUCCCCUGCUGCGGGAUCUGGAGCUUUUUUUUUUUAUUUUAUUUUCUUUAACUCCAGAAUCAACUGGCGGGGUAGGGAUGUGAGCUUCCCCAGGACAGAUGAGGAAACUGAGGCCCAAAGAGGCGAGGAGACUCGAUCAGGGCCACUCAAAGGAUUCCAUCCCAAACGCUGAGGUCUCCAUCCCAAACGCCUGUUUGCCACCCCCCACCCUCCUCCUCCUCCCACUGUCUGCAAAGCACCCUGGGAAUUUCUCCCACUCUUGGGCAGCCAGGAAACAGGGUUUCUCUGUGUAACCCCUGGCUGUCCUAGAACUCGAUUUGUGGAUGAGACUGACCUAGAACUCAGAGAUCCACCCGCCUUUGCCUCCCACGUGCUGGGAUUAAAGGCCUGCGCCACCACAUCUUGGUCACCUAACCGGCUGGGUUAACGUGGUGCUGAGAACAGAACCCAGGACGUCCGCCAUGCUCGGCGAGCUCUCUGCCUCCUGAGCUACGCCACUCCAGCCCCUCGAAAACACUUUGAUUUAAAAAAAAUUACAAUAAAAGUAAACGAGUAAGAUAAA